rnacentral:rRNA from 1 species
GAUGAACGCUGGCGGCGUGCCUAAUACAUGCAAGUCGAGCGAAUGGAUUAAGAGCUUGCUCUUAUGAAGUUAGCGGCGGACGGGUGAAUAACACGUGGGUAACCUGCCCAUAAGACUGGGAUAACUCCGGGAAACCGGGGCUAAUACCGGAUAACAUUUUGAACCGCAUGGUUCGAAAUUGAAAGGCGGCUUCGGCUGUCACUUAUGGAUGGACCCGCGUGGCAUUAGCUAGUUGGUGAGGUAACGGCUCACCAAGGCAACGAUGCGUAGCCGACCUGAGAGGGUGAUCGGCCACACUGGGACUGAGACACGGCCCAGACUCCUACGGGAGGCAGCAGUAGGGAAUCUUCCGCAAUGGACGAAAGUCUGACGGAGCAACGCCGCGUGAGUGAUGAAGGCUUUCGGGUCGUAAAACUCUGUUGUUAGGGAAGAACAAGUGCUAGUUGAAUAAGCUGGCACCUUGACGGUACCUAACCAGAAAGCCACGGCUAACUACGUGCCAGCCGCCGCCGUAA